CGAAUGGGGGAAACCCUGAUCCAGCCAUGCCGCGUGAGUGAUGAAGGCCCUAGGGUUGUAAAACUCUUUCGGCGGGGACGAUAAUGACGGUACCCGCAGAAGAAGCUCCGGCUAACUUCGUGCCAGCAGCCGCGGUAAUACGAAGGGGGCUAGCGUUGUUCGGAAUUACUGGGCGUAAAGCGCGCGCAGGCGGUUCUUCAAGUCAGAGGUGAAAGCCCAGAGCUCAACUCUGGAAUGGCCUUUGAGACUAGAGAACUAGGGUACGGGAGAGGUGAGUGGAAUUCCGAGUGUAGAGGUGAAAUUCGUAGAUAUUCGGAAGAACACCAGUGGCGAAGGCGGCUCACUGGCCCGUUACCGACGCUCAGGCGCGACAGCGUGGGGAGCAAACAGGAUUAGAUACCCUGGUAGUCCACGCCGUAAACGAUGGAUGCUAGCCGUUGGUAAGCAUGCUUAUCAGUGGCGCAGCUAACGCAUUAAGCGUCCCGCCUGGGGAGUACGGCCGCAAGGUUG
rnacentral:rRNA from 1 species